rnacentral:rRNA from 1 species
CCUAACACAUGCAAGUCGAACGGUAACAGGAAGAAGCUUGCUUCUUUGCUGACGAGUGGCGGACGGGUGAGUAAUGUCUGGGAAACUGCCUGAUGGAGGGGGAUAACUACUGGAAACGGUAGCUAAUACCGCAUAACGUCGCAAGACCAAAGAGGGGGACCUUCGGGCCUCUUGCCAUCGGAUGUGCCCAGAUGGGAUUAGCUAGUAGGUGGGGUAACGGCUCACCUAGGCGACGAUCCCUAGCUGGUCUGAGAGGAUGACCAGCCACACUGGAACUGAGACACGGUCCAGACUCCUACGGGAGGCAGCAGUGGGGAAUAUUGCACAAUGGGGGGAACCCUGACGCAGCAACGCCGCGUGGAGGACGAAGGUUUUCGGAUUGUAAACUCCUUAACUGGGGGAAGAGAGAGGACGGUACCCC